rnacentral:rRNA from 1 species
UACGUAGGGUCCGAGCGUUGUCCGGAAUUAUUGGGCGUAAAGGGCUCGUAGGCGGUUUGUCACGUCGGGAGUGAAAACUCAGGGCUCAACCCUGAGCGUGCUUCCGAUACGGGCAGACUAGAGGUAUGCAGGGGAGAACGGAAUUCCUGGUGUAGCGGUGAAAUGCGCAGAUAUCAGGAGGAACACCGGUGGCGAAGGCGGUUCUCUGGGCCUGUACUGACGCUGAGGAACGAAAGCGUGGGGAGCGAACAGG